AACUCCUUGACCAAUUACACUAACAAACUUACACUACCACCCAUCCUUUCUCCAGAGAUCCACGUAUUGCUUUAUUAUGAGCCAUUCAUCCAUAGCUAAUGUAAACCACAAAUUUCUAAAUGAAAAUCAGAAUUUGAUUCAAAAAAUUAGAGAAAGAAAGAUCGAGAGAGAGCGAGACACAGAGGGAGAAAGGGGGAAAACAAAAACAGAAAGGGUCAAAGGGAGGAAUGAAGAUCAGAGCUCACGGAAGGAAGAAGGCUUCGAUCUCACUAUCCUCGUGCACCCGUCGCUGCUACUAUUAUCAAUCGAAGCUAUUGCGCGUAGAGAGAAGAAAAGAGCGACGAAUAGGGAGACGCGUAGCUGCUGUUGACAUUUACUGGAGUUGUCGCGCGUAGAAGAGAGGCUACCGCCGAUUCCGUCCAGGAUCAUCGUCGCCGCCGCUACCAUUAACGAAGUCGGCGCCAUCGAAGGGGCCACGGGUGGGAGGAACCCUAACUGUCAUCGUUACCAUCGAACAGGGCAGAUAGGGUAGGAGUGACGUGAUGAGAGAAGAGAGUCGUUCUGCCACUGAUGCACUUGCUAGUGCUGUUGAGGGAGUCCGCCGUCCGAGAAGCAUCAUCCGCGUUGUUGCUGUGAACUAUUUCAGUCCUGCCCUGGAAAAAUGCCCAAAAAUGUUUUUGUUUCGGUCUUGCCACCAUUAUCGCGAUUAUUGAUGACAUCGUUGCUGCAGAGGGUCUUCGAUAUCACUGUUGCAGUUGCUACCACGAAUUAGGAAUAAAGGGAAUUGCUGUGUUAAAUCCUGCGAUUACGACAUCGAGGUAGGGGGUUUAAAACGAUUUCAAUUUAAGAAUGCCUACAAGGUUUAUUGAAUAACUGCAAAUAGAUUUAAUAGCUGUGAGUAAUUGAUUGAUUAUGUAAUUAUUGAAUUGUGGCUGAAAUUGUGAUUGGAAUGGUUGAGAUUGUGAUUUGGAAUUGUUGCUUUGUGAUAUUGAUUGAUUAUGUGGAUUGGGAAUUGCUUGAUGACUGAUUAUUGAGAAUUUCUGAAUUUUAAUGGGUUA